GUAUACUUAAUUAUGUCUAUGCAGCGUUAAUGCGCGGCGAAAAACCUCACACACUUGUCUAGUUUUUUUGAACUUUGCUUUUGGGUGCAUCAGCCUAGCUGCGUGCCCAAAGGUCUAAGCACAUUUUUUUAAUGUUAAAACCUUUAACCAAUAGUCAUGAAAAUUUUUAACAAAAAUUAAAAUCUUCAAAACUUUCAACAACGGAUCUCUUGGUUCUCGCAACGAUGAAGAACGCAGCGAAAUGCGAUACGUAUUGUGAAUUGCAGAUUUUCGUGAAUCAUCGAAUCUUUGAACGCACAUUGCACCCUCUGGUAUUCCAGAGGGUAUGCCUGUUUGAGCGUCAUUUCUCUCUCAAACCUUCGGGUUUGGUAUUGAGUGAUACUCUGUCAAGGGUUAACUUGAAAUAUUGACUUAGCAAGAGUGUACUAAUAAGCAGUCUUUCUGAAAUAAUGUAUUAGGUUCUUCCAACUCGUUAUAUCAGCUAGGCAGGUUUAGAAGUAUUUUAGGCUCGGCUUAAACAACAAUAAACUAAAAGUUUGACCUCAAAUCAGGUAGGACUACCCGCUGAACUUAAGCAUAUCAAUUAAGCGGAAGGGAAGGGAUCAUUAUAGUAUUCUAUUGCCCAG
rnacentral:rRNA from 1 species